AAUAAACCAAGUAGCAAAUGAUGUGUUUAGUAUAAAUAAAUAUAAUGAGAGAGAGAGAGAGAGAGUUUGAUUGGGGUGGCAUUGACUCCUCCCAACAUAAAGACAUGAUGACCCAAUCAAGGCAAAAAAGGAGGGCGUGUUGGUCACUCUCCAAUGAAUGCAAAGUGAUAAUGAUACGGUAAGAGGGUCCCUCCCAGAGAGAUUCCGUUGGAGCGUGAGGACCAAACUCUGAGGGAGGCAUUGAAUUAAGUAAUGAUAAGCAAAGCAAAUGUACACUGUGCUUGGGAAAGAAAUGAAAGCUCCUAAAAUUGAAAGUAAAUACUACUUAAUAGAGUGCAGUGUCAGAGGUUAGGGGCAAGUGAACUGUGAACGUGCACUAUUUUUGUAUAUUUGAAGCAUGGAUCUCGAUCCCCUUCAACUCAAGUAGCACACAAACACAAACAUAACAUAACAUAUAGGGUCACUACUUCCCCACACACGCUCUCUCGCGCUUGUUAAUGAUACUACUACAUACCAUAGUUUUAAAGGACAAACAUAAAGAGAGAAGGGUCUACAUAACACAACACAUAAGGGAAGUGGGGGCAUACUUUGCUAUAGUGAGUUAGUGAGUGGGAGAGAGAAAGAGGGGAAAAUCUUGGCUUGAUAGUUGAGAGAGAGAGAGAGAGAGGGGUAAGACUAACAUGAGAAAUAGCUCAGCUCUCAACUUCAGUGGCCACACUUGCCCAGAACCCCAUAAAACACAGCAGGGAUAGGGAUGCUGAGGCAAAUGAUGCUGCUUGAAUCUGCAAUCAUGUUAUAAACAAGAGGUGGUUUGGCUUUUGUAGUAAGUUGACUAGCAAUACCAUUUGUGAGAGAGGAAACAAGUGGCUUCAGAGGGGAGAGAAAGAGAGAGUUUAUGUAUGCUUUCAUGGGUAAGACCGUACUCUUGUGCUCAGAUUUGGAUUUGAAAUUUAAUUUGGAAAAGAAGGGGGAUAGAUUUAUUAGAAGGAGGUUAAUAAGAGGGUGGGAGAAAUAAAAGGAAAAGAGUUAUUUGGUGUUGUUUGUAAGUUUCUUCUUUUGUUGUUUCUGCAACUUUUGCACUCAUUACUUCUUUAUAGAGAAAUUCAACCACCAUCUUAUGUCCCUCUCCCUUUACUUUAUUUUCUCCUUCUUCCUUUUAUCAAAGGUAACUCUUGGCAUCCUCCUUGUUCCUCCUAUUAAUCAACCACACGGGAAUACUCCUUUUAACACUUCACUUUCUUACUUCCCCUUCUCCCUUUUCUUCUUUAACUUUCUUUUCUUCUGUUGUGCUUUGCAGGAAUAUGAGAAAGAAACUCACUGUGCCACCACUCAUCUCAAGUUGGUAGGUAGGGCUUGUGUGUGGUUGAGAAAGAAACUUUACUUGUAAUAGGAGUGAGAAAGAUGGCCAGUGGAGAGUAGAGAGAGAAAGACACACACAUACACUCAACUCACUACAAAAAAAAAAAAAAAGAUUUUUAAGGAUAGGCUAGUUUGUUGUGGAACAAAGCAACAAUCUUUUUUACUCACCCAUGGAUGGUUACGAAGCUACAAGGAUUGUGUUCUCAAGGAUCCAAAACUUGGACCCUGAAAAUGCUUCCAAAAUCAUGGGUGUGCUUCUACUUCAAGACCAUGGUGAGAAGGAAAUGAUUAGAUUAGCAUUUGGUCCUGAAGCUAUUGUUCACUCUGUGAUUGUCAAAGCCCGCAAAGAGUUGGGCUUACCCUCGAACUCUCCGCCAACACCUUCCACUCCUCCUUCUCCUUCUCCCUUCCUUUCAAGACAAAACUCAACUUCUUCAAGACUCAGUGGCAUCAACCUUCCUCCUGCAGUCACUAUUCCAAACCCUUCUUCUACUUCAGCUUCUUGGGCUACUAUGUCUGAUGAUUUGAUGAGUCCCAACAACUUGGUUGUUGGUUCUUCCACUUCUUCAUCUUCCUUACCCUUUUAUGCAAACGGAGGCUCAGAUCCAAUUGAUGAUUUCCAGCUUCAAGACCAGCUUUCUUUCUUGAAUGAUGGCUCUCCAACAAGUGCCACUCUUGGCCACAAGAACGCAGAUUUGUUUUACCCUUCUCAUUCAGACUUGGCUUCAAGUCCAACUGGUGCAGCUGCUGAUCCUACUCUCUUUCCUUCUUAUGGUUGGGGAGGGUCUCUGCACCGUAGGAGUUGUUCUGUCAAUGAUGCUUGUUUGGGUUCUGAGGACCCUAAUUCUGGCUUGGGGUGGAAGCCUUGCCUUUACUUUGCCAGAGGGUACUGUAAAAAUGGCACUAGUUGUAGGUUCCUUCAUGGGGGACUUGGAGAUGCUGAUGGUGCUGCAAUGGUUGGCUCUCCUAGCAAGAUUGAGAUGAUGGAGCAGUGCCAUGAGCUCUUCAGAUCCAAGUCUGCUCAGCAACAAAGACUGGCUGCUGCUUCUCAGCUCAUGGCAUCUUCUCUUCCAUACUCCCCAAAGUGCAUGAAUUUCCUCUUGCAGCAGCAGCAGCAGAAUGAUACUCAAAGAGCGGCAGCUGCAGCUCUGAUGAUGAGUGAGGAUUUGCAUAAGUUUGGAAGAUCCAGGCUUGAAAGGAAUGAUUUUUCUUUGAACAGUCCUGGGAUGGUGAACCCAGCUUCUAGGCAGAUCUACUUGACUUUCCCGGCAGAUAGCACUUUCAGAGAGGAAGAUGUUUCAAAUUACUUCAGCAUUUAUGGCCCAGUCCAAGAUGUGAGGAUCCCAUAUCAGCAGAAGCGCAUGUUUGGUUUUGUUACCUUUGUUUAUCCGGAGACAGUGAAGCUCAUUCUAUCAAAAGGAAACCCUCAUUUUGUGUGUGAUGCUAGGGUGCUUGUUAAGCCUUACAAGGAGAAGGGCAAAGUGCCAGACAAGAAGCAGCAGCAACAGUUGGAUAGAGCAGAUUUUUCACCAUGUGGCACUCCUACAGGACUAGAUGCUAGAGACCAAUAUGAUCUUCAACUUGGAGGCAGAAUGUUUUACAAUACUCACGACAUGCUGUGGAGGAGGAAGUUGGAGGAGCAAGCUGAUUUGCAGCAAGCUCUUGAACUCCAAAGUAGGAGGUUAAUGGGUCUGCAACUUCUUGACAUCAAGAAGCAUCACCAGCGCGCACUCUCCACUGGAAGUCCAAUUCCAUCCCCUACCCACUCUCCUAACAUGUUCCAUCAAAAUCUUGUUCUUCCUUCAUUUCAUGGCAGUUCAGAGGCCCCAGAGGAGAGUGGUUCAAGUUCUGCACCAGCUAGUACUGCAUCAGUUUCUGCUGGUCAGCAGCAAGUCAACAUUUCAGCUGGCAAGGAAGUGGUGGUCAAUGGAGAGAGUGGAUGCAAUGAAGGCAAUGGCAAGCUGAACUCUAGCCAUGAAGAUCGUGAUUUGCAAGAAUGUUUGGAGCAUAAUCUCCCUGAUAGCCCUUUUGCUUCCCCAACAAAAGCUGCUGGAGACUUCAUCAUGGCUCCCUUCUCCAAUGGACCUAAUGAGGCCAUUGAUUCAGAUCCCUCAGCUGCAUCUGCCAACUCCAAAUUUGGUACUAACACAUUACUUCCAGCAGCAUCUGCUUUAGACAUGGGGUCAUUCAAAUCCUAUAACUGCCAAAUACCAAGGUAGUUCUCUUCUGGGCAUGGAACUAUUGGGAUGUUUGCAGGCACCGGUGGAGCAAUUGGCAUUUAGUUUCCUGAGGCUCAGGAAGUGAAAGGUGACUAAACAAACUCGGCACCCAACAAAAUCUGUAGAGAAUCACCACCACCACCACCAUGACGGCCAUCACCAUCAAUAAUCGAUACUAUACUACUUACUACCAUACAAAAUGCAUACGUAAAAAGCAGUUCAGUAAGGGAAAGUGGGGCAUGCAUUCCCCUUUUCUUUUCUUAGCAUUAUUGUACCAUUUUCUUUCUUCUCUCAUAUCUGUAGUAGCUGAACCACAGGUUAAAAAUAACACAAAAAAUCAUCAGAGUCAGUGUGUAGUAGGGAACUCUUGGCACUGUAAUUUGUUUCUUCUCCUACCCUUUGGAUGGAUGAUGGAUGUAGUAGUGUAGAUUGUUAGUCCUAUGUUGUUACAGGUAUAAUCUGAAGUGUUUGUACAGCUGGAGCAUUAUUACCCAGAGAAAGCAUGCACAGAUGAAGUGGUAAAACCGUAAAUGCAGAGAGUUGUAUAAGUAGAAGGCUGAUUGAGAUGGAUGGGUUCCCCCCAUGAUGGGUAACUUGAGUUUGAAGGCCAGAAAUGAGGAGGGGAAUGUAUAAUUGUUAAUCUUAGCUGGGUUAAAAGAUGAAAGUUGAGAUUUUUACCUUGGAUGUAAUGUUUGUACUUGUUCUACCACUUAGUUGUUAUACACAGUUAUCAAACCCCCUUAAAUUACCCAGACAGAAAAGAGAAAGAUUUAGAAAGAAGAAUCAAAAGCGAGUUUUUAGACUAAUUGGUCUAUUUGCCUCUCCUUUUGUGUGCUUUUUGAUUUUAAAGGAGAAUUUGUCUCUUUGUUCCUGCAAUUAUUUUUCCCUUUCAAUUUGUAAAUUGGUGGGGUCUGUCUUUUUUUUUUUUUUUUGCCAUUAUUGGACAGGGUCCACAAGACACACCAUCACAUGGGGUUGCUGACACUGCAUGUGGGCCACACAUUUAUAUAAUAUGCCAGGUUGUGUAUAGGCCCUACCCACCAGCACCUACCCAUGUGAGUGAUGCCACUUUCUCUCUCAUAUGCCCCUACCCCUACCCCUACCCCUACCCCUACCCCUACCCCUCUUUCUCUCUUGACAGGAAGGGACAUGCACAGAUCUUAAAGUAGGACUAGAUGCCCACACGAAUGACAAGAGUGCCCAGUUACUCGAAUCUUUUGGGCUCUGUGGCCUUGUGAAUGUGUGUCACUUAUAACUCAACACUGUGCAUUUUUAUUAUAUUUUUUUAACUUACCCUCUUCUAGGUGUUUGUGGAGACUGAAAAUGUUAAGCCCUACUACUACUACUACUUUGAAGUGUGGUUGAGUGAAAAGUUAAGUGGCACCUCGUGGAUAAGCACAAGCCGCAAUGUUGGCUGGUUGGUUUUGACACGUUUGUUGGUUACCUUUUAAUUUGAUUCAAAGUAAAGACCAUAGGCAUAUCAUA